rnacentral:rRNA from 1 species
AGGACGAACGCUGGCGGCGUGCCUAACACAUGCAAGUGGAACGACGACCCGGGCUUCGGCCCGGUGCAAAGCCGCGAACGGGUGAGUAACACGUGGGUAACCUGCCCCGAUGAUUGGGACAACCCGAGGAAACUCGGGCUAAUACCGAAUGUGCCCUCCGGCCAUAAGGCCGCUGGGGAAAGGAAGCUUCGGCCUCCGCAUCGGGAUGGGCCCGCGGCCCAUUAGCUUGUUGGUGAGGUAACGGCUCACCAAGGCUAUGACGGGUAGCUGGUCUGAGAGGACGACCAGUCACACUGGAACUGAGACACGGUCCAGACACCUACGGGUGGCAGCAGUCGAGAAUUUUUUCUCAAUGGGGGCAACCCUGAAGGAGCGACGCCGCGUGGAGGAUGAAGGCUUUCGGGUUGUAAACUCCUGUCAUUUGAGAACAAGUGUAGCCAAGUAACUACUGGCUACUUGAUAGUAUCAGAAGAGGAAGGGACGGCUAACUCUGUGCCAGCAGCCGC